UCUACGGGUGGCAGCAGUGGGGAAUAUUGCACAAUGGGGGAAACCCUGAUGCAGCGACGCCGCGUGAAGGAUGAAGUAUUUCGGUAUGUAAACUUCUAUCAGCAGGGAAGAAAAUGACGGUACCUGACUAAGAAGCCCCGGCUAACUACGUGCCAGCAGCCGCGGUAAUACGUAGGGGGCAAGCGUUAUCCGGAUUUACUGGGUGUAAAGGGAGCGUAGGCGGUGAUGCAAGGCAGAAGUGAAAGCCCGCAGCUCAACCGCGGGACUGCAUUUGAAACUGUAAGACUAGAUUGCAGGAGAGGUAGGUGGAAUUCCUAGUGUAGCGGUGAAAUGCGUAGAUAUUAGGAGGAACACCAGUGGCGAAGGCGGCUUACUGGACUGUAAAUGACGCUGAGGCUCGAAAGCGUGGGGAGCAAACAGGAUUAGAUACCCCAGUAGUC
rnacentral:rRNA from 1 species